GAUGAACGCUGGCGGCGUGCUUAACACAUGCAAGUCGAACGGUGAAGCAGGAGCUUGCUCUUGUGGAUCAGUGGCGAACGGGUGAGUAACACGUGAGCAACCUGCCCCUGACUCUGCGAUAAGCGCUGGAAACGGCGUCUAAUACUGGAUAUGUGAUGUGCCCACAUGGUCUGCAUCUGGAAAGAAUUUCGGUUGGGGAUGGGCUCGCGGCCUAUCAGCUUGUUGGUGUGGUAAUGUCUCGCCAAGGCUUCGGCGGGUAGCCGGCCUGAGUGGGUGACCGGACACACUGGGACUGGGACACGGCCCAGACUCAUACGGGAGGGAGCAGUGGGGAAUAUUGCACAAUGGGCGGAAGCCUGAUGCAGCAACGCCGCGUGAGGGAUGACGGCCUUCGGGUUGUAAACCUCUGUUAGCAGGGAUGAAGCGAAAGUGACGGUACCUGCAGAAAAAGCACCGGCUAACUACGUGCCAGCCGCCGCAGUAA
rnacentral:rRNA from 1 species